AGUGAACGCUGGCGGUAGGCCUAACGCAUGCAAGUCGAACGGCAGCACAGUAAGAGCUUGCUCUUACGGGUGGCGAGUGGCGGACGGGUGAGGAAUACAUCGGAAUCUACUUUUUCGUGGGGGAUAACGUAGGGAAACUUACGCUAAUACCGCAUACGACCUACGGGUGAAAGCAGGGGAUCUUCGGACCUUGCGCGAUUGAAUGAGCCGAUGUCGGAUUAGCUAGUUGGCGGGGUAAAGGCCCACCAAGGCGACGAUCCGUAGCUGGUCUGAGAGGAUGAUCAGCCACACUGGAACUGAGACACGGUCCAGACUCCUACGGGAGGCAGCAGUGGGGAAUAUUCGACAAUGGGCGCAAGCCUGACCCAGCCACACCGCGUGAGUGAAGAAGGCCUUCGGGUUGUAAAGCUCUUUUGUUGGGAAAGAAAAGCAGUAGGUGAAAACCCCGCUGUUCUGACGGUACCCAAAGAAUAAGCACCGGCUAACUUCGUG
rnacentral:rRNA from 1 species